rnacentral:rRNA from 1 species
GCUAAAAAUCUAGCCAAAUAAAUAAAAAAAUUUAACUAAAUUAAUUUACUUCUACCUAAUAAACCAUUUUAUUAUCUAAGUAAAGGGGAUUGAAAAGACUUAUAAGAGCUAUAAUAACAGUACCGCAAGGGAACGAUGAAAUAUUUAAUGAAAACUUAAGCAAAUAAAAGUAAAGAUAUAACCUUGUACCUUUUGCAUUAUGGUUUAACUAGUUUACCCAAGCAAAACGCAUUUAAGUUUGACCUCCCGAAACUAAGUGAGCUACUUCAGGGCAGCUAAAAGAGCAAACCCGUCUCUGUAGCAAAAGAGUGGGAUGACCCUCAAGUAGCGGUGACAGACCUAACGAACUUAGUGAUAGCUGGUUACUCAAGAAAUGGACUUUAAUCCAACCUGAAAUCAUAAUAAGUUUACCAAAACAACACCUGACUUUCAACGUAAUUCAAAUAAGGUACAGCCUAUUUGAAACAGGAUACAACCUAAACCAGAGGAUAAGAACAGCCAUCUAUACAUCUAAGUAGGCCUAAAAGCAGCCAUCUUUUAAAUUGCGUCAAAGCUUAAUUGUCAAAACGCCUAAUUACCUAAUUAUAUUCUUAUUCCCUCAACAGUACUGAGUAUUUCUAUAAUAUUAUAGAAAAUUUUAUGUUAAAACUAGUAACAAGAAGAAGAUCCUUCUCUUAAAUGUAUCUAUAAAUCAGAAAGGACUAACCACUGAUACUUAACACACGAAUAAAAAGUAGUAACUAACCAAGAAAACUCUUCUUUCACCAUUGUUAACCUAACACAAGAACAUUUUAAGAAAGAUUAAAAAAAUAAGAAGGAACUCGGCAAAUAUUUAACCCCGCCUGUUUACCAAAAACAUCGCCUCUUGAACCCAAUAAGAGGUCCAGCCUGCCCAGUGACUUUGUUCAACGGCCGCGGUAUCCUAACCGUGCGAAGGUAGCGUAAUAACUUGUUCUUUAAAUAAGGACUAGUAUGAAUGGCACCACGAAGGUUAUACUGUCUCCUUUUUUUAAUCAGUGAAACUAAUCUCCUCGUGAAGAAGCGAGGAUAUAAAUAUAAGACGAGAAGACCCUAUGGAGCUUUAAACAACAUGGCACUUAUUACACAAAUUUUAUACUUAAAUCUUUUUAAUGAUAUGACCAUAAGUUUUUGGUUGGGGUGACCACGGGGCAUAAUAAAACCCCCAUGUUGAAAUCUUUUUAAGCCAAGAACAACACAUCUAAGCAUCAACAUUUUGACAUUCAUUGACCCAAUAUAUUUGAACGACGAACCAAGUUACCCUAGGGAUAACAGCGCAAUCCACUUCAAGAGCCCCUAUCGACAAGUGGGUUUACGACCUCGAUGUUGGAUCAAGGUUUCCCAGUGGUGCAGCCGCUACUA